ACGCUAUGUUACACUACUAUACUAUAUUACUUUACAAUAUAUUACUAUUAUCUCCACUACACUAUAAACUAUCUUCUACUGUUACUCUUCACACUGUCACUACACCUCACAGUUUCUAAUCACUCAACCUUUGAGAGACAGUUCAUUGAGUAAUAGUCAUGGCCUCUACCCACAGCAUUCACUGUACUCAUGCUACUGCUGAAUCUGAAGCAAUAAACACCAUGAAAGAAAACCACAAAACACACACUUCUGCCACUGAAAGUGUGUAACAAGCAUCAUCUUCUCUUAUGAAAUCAGACUCUGAGCAUAAUUCAGAAGAGAAUAUCUCUUCUGAAGAUCUCAGCACAAUUGAGACUGAGAAGAUAGCUGUGAUCAGAAGAAUCAAAAAAUUACAGACUGAGAAAGAAUUGUGAGAACUUCAACAGCAGUGCAACACUUUACUACAAGAAUUGAAUGAAACAA
rnacentral:sRNA from 1 species